CCCCUCAUGACACGACCACAGCCGCCGGGAUCCAUGUGAUGUCACUCACGCUGGCUGCUGAGGAGAAGGACGCGUCCACUGUGCAAGUGUUCCGGGGAUGAAGAUUGAUGAACACACUAAUAAAUCUUGAUACGUUUUUCUGUGAGAGCAGGUUGAAUGGAAGAAGAAGACGUCUAUUGUGCUACCGGUGCUACUUUUCUAAUGUUAGUUAAAGUGUUACCCACCUUCGCAUCCCCCACAAUAAGUAGACGUAGUUGUCAAAUUCCAAAUGUUUAAUUUUAAUUCAUAUCUCAGUCCUAUUGUACGAUUUGUAUGUAAUUGAAGAAACAGUGUAAUCCAUGAAAAAGAGACCUGCUGCCAUAAAUAAUGAGCUUUA